rnacentral:tRNA from 1 species
UGCAAAAUAGAUUAAUAUUUAUAGAUCGCCGGGCCCAUACCCCGGAAGUGUUUACAUUUGUAGCUUUUGCAG